GCCUUCUUAGCUCAGCGGUAGAGCGUUCCACUCGUACCGACUGUACCGACUGUACCGACUGUACCGACUGUGAGAUGGAAAGGUCGCUAGUUCAAGUCUGGCAGGAGGCA
rnacentral:tRNA from 1 species